UACGUAGGGCGCAAGCGUUAUCCGGAAUUAUUGGGCGUAAAGAGCUCGUAGGCGGCUUGUCACGUCGGGUGUGAAAGCCCGGGGCUUAACCCCGGGUCUGCAUUCGAUACGGGCUAGCUAGAGUGUGGUAGGGGAGAUCGGAAUUCCUGGUGUAGCGGUGAAAUGCGCAGAUAUCAGGAGGAACACCGGUGGCGAAGGCGGGUCUCUGGGCCGUAACUGACGCUGAGGAGCGAAAGCGUGGGGAGCGAACAGG
rnacentral:rRNA from 1 species